AGUGAAUAGAUACCCUGGUAGUCCACGCUGUAAACGAUGCAGACUAGAUUCAAGGGGUUUUCACGCCUUUUGGGUCGAAAUAGAAAAAUCGUUAAGUCUGCCGCCUGGGGAGUACGGCCGCAAGGCUAAAACUCAAACGAAUUGACGGGGGCUCACACAAGCGGUGGAGCAUGUGGCUCAAUUCGAAGCUACGCGAAGAACCUUACCUAGGUUUGACAUGCAUGGAUUAAGCCGAUGAAAGUCGGCCUACACUUAGCAAUAAGCGGAACAUGCACAGGUGUUGCACGGCUGUCGUCAGCUCGUGCCGUGAGGUGUCCGGUUCAGUCCUCCAACGAGCGCAACCCCUAUGGUUAGUUGCUACCAGGUCACGCUGAGCACUCUAGCCAGACUGCCGGUGUAAGCCGGAGGAAGGUGGGGAUGACGUCAAGUCAUCGUGGCCUUUAUGCCUAGGGAUGCACACGUGCUACAAUGGCGAUUAUAAAGCGAUGCAAAGCCGCGAGGCGGAGCAAA
rnacentral:rRNA from 1 species